UAGCUCACUGGUCGAGUGACUCUGCGCCGAAAAUUCAACGGGGCUAAAAUUCAUACCGAAGCUUGGGCUUGACAGUAAUGUCAGGGGUAGGGGAGCGUCGUAUACGAGGUGAAGUCAUAGCGGAAGCGGUGGUGGAUUGUAUACGAGUGAGAAUGCCGGAAUGAGUAGCGAGAAUUAUGUGAGAAUCAUAAUGGCCGAAAGUCUAAGGUUUCCUGAGGAAGGUUCGUCCUCUCAGGGUUAGCCGGGAGCUAAGGUGAGGCGGAAACGCGUAGCCGAUGCACAUACGGUAGAAAUUCCGUAGCCUCCGAAGAUUUAAGCACAGGGACACUUUUGAAGGGCUGAGCCGGGCGUUGGUUGCCCCGGUCGAAAGGGACACGAGUGAGUGGAAGUCAGUUUGGAAAGAGGCGAGAAAAGCUGUGUGUAUAUGGAAGGAGCCCGUACCGCAAACCGACACAGGUAGACAGGAAGAAGAUUCUAAGGCCAGCGGGAGAAGGGUUGUUAAGGAACUCGGCAAGUUGACCCCGUAACUUCGGGAGAAGGGGUGCUUACGAAGGUAAGCCGCAGAGAAUAGGCCCAAGCGACUGUUUAGCAAAAACACAGCUCUAUGCUAAAUCGAAAGAUGACGUAUAUGGGGUGACACCUGCCCGGUGCUGGAAGGUUAAGAGGAGAUGUGAGAGCAUUGAAUUGAAGCCCCAGUAAACGGCGGCCGUAACUAUAACGGUCCUAAGGUAGCGAAAUUCCUUGUCAGGUAAGUUCUGACCCGCACGAAUGGUGUAACGAUUUGGGCACUGUCUCAACAACCCACCCGGCGAAAUUGUAGUACCGGUGAAGAUGCCGGUUACCCGCGACUAGACGGAAAGACCCCAUGGAGCUUCACUGCAGCUUAAUAUUGGAUUUCGGUAUUUCAUGUACAGGAUAGGUGGGAGACUGGGAAAUACAGGCGUCAGCUUGUAUGGAGUCAUUGUUGGGAUACCACUCUUGAGGUGCUGGAAUUCUAACCUGUGGCCUUGAAUCAGGUCAGGGGACAUUGUUAGGCGGGCAGUUUGACUGGGGCGGUCGCCUCCUAAAAGGUAACGGAGGCGCUCAAAGGUUCGCUCAGCAUGGACGGAAACCAUGCCAGAGAGUGCAAACGCAUAAGCGAGCCUAACUGCGAGACUGACGGGUCGAGCA
rnacentral:rRNA from 1 species